rnacentral:rRNA from 1 species
UACGUAGGGGCCAAGCGUUUGUCCGGAUUUAUUGGGCGUAAAGAGCUCGUAGGUGGUUCGGCAAGUCAGUUGUGAAAUCUCCGCGCUCAACGCGGAGGGGUCAGCUGAAACUGCUGUGACUUGAGUCUGGUAGGGGAGUGUGGAAUUCCCGGUGUAGCGGUGAAAUGCGCAGAUAUCAGGAGGAACACCGGUGGCGAAGGCGGUUCUCUGGGCAUGAUC